AUACGUAGGUGACAAGCGUUAUCCGGAUUUACUGGGCGUAAAGGGCGUGUAGGCGGUCUUGCAAGUCAGAAGUGAAAUUCCUGAGCUCAACUCGGGCGCUGCUUCUGAAACUGCAGGACUUGAGUGCUGGAGGGGAUAGCGGAAUUCCUAGUGGAGCGGUAAAAUGCGCAGAUAUUAGGAAGAACACCGGUGGCGAAGGCGGCUAUCUGGACAGUAACUGACGCUGAGGCGCGAAAGCGUGGGGAGCAAACAGGAUUAGAUACCCUGGUAGUCCACGCCGUAAACGAUGAUUACUAGGUGUAGGGGGUAUCGACCCCUUCUGUGCCGGAGUUAACACAAUAAGUAAUCCACCUGGGGAGUACGGCCGCAAGGUUGAAACUUAAAGGAAUUGGCGGGG
rnacentral:rRNA from 1 species